UGAACACUUGAGCUGGGCAUGGUGGGAGCGGCUGGUUAGCCAUUUGUCAGGCAAAGUCAAAACAGCCCUCCAGCUACAGCACAGACGGCAGUCUGCAGCUCGUCAGCAUUUUAUUUAUGACUCUUAAUUAGCAAGCAAAAAAGGAGGGAAGAAGUUCCCAGUUUGGGAUAUACAUACUUAUACAUACAUAUUUUGCCCAGAAAUUAUCUUUGUCAAAAUAAUUUAAAUCCUUACAACCCUGGGAUGUAGAUAUUAUAAUUUACAUUUUAUAGACAGGAAAUUCCAUCCUGCAAGGUUUUUGUUUUUUAAGUCCUGUGAAAUCCAAAGGACAAAGUGUGUCUAUUUAUUCUCAAGGAUUCCAAGCCUCACUAAAGGAUGAACUGGAAGGCCACAGCUUCCAAACCCUCUGAGGAGGUGUGGUUGGCAUUGUGGAGAUGGCCAGUAUUUCUGGUUCUCUCCUCCUGCAGGGACAUGAAAAGAUCGCACUUCUCCAUCCCCCUGAAGGCUAGGAAAGAUCGGACGUUUGACAACAUUUCCAUGUUAACUAUUUUUGUUCCAUGGCACUCCUAAUGUUGUAUGAAUUUAAAUCGACUGACAAGAGAAGGAAAGAUCAGCAGCAACUCCUCUGGCACAGUCAGUCAGAGCAUCUCCAUGUAGUCAAACGGUAAAGCAAAAUUAUUCAGAGCUGUGUGAUGGAAGCUGCAGGCACCUGGCAGUACCAACGACUUAAUCAUAAUGAUUAGGGGAGAAAUAUGGUUAUUAAUAGCCUGAUAAAUGCAUUCAUUUUUCAGAAUCCCCUUAUGGAGAGAAAUGACAGAAUAAAACUCAAAUUAACAGACAAAGGCCCCCAUUCCACUGUUCCACACACCCGCAGCUCCUCCUGACUUCAGUGGGUGUUCUGGGCACAGAGAAAGAACAGGAGCAGGAUAUUGAUCUAUUUCUAGUAUUCGAAAGAAUUCUUCUCUCUGUAUAUUUCAAGGCAGCCAAGAUCCUAAUGUUACAGCAGUGCUACAUUCUGUGCUCACCUUAACAGAUCCAAGUAACAGCACUGAGAUGCAAUAGACACUCUUUUCCCAAACUAAAGAAAAACAGAGUUCUCUCAGGUGUGGGGUGGGAGGUGCUGGGGAGGUGGUUUGAUAAAAAGAGAGAAAAAUGGGAAUGGAAAAGUUGCUCUUCAGCUACCGCAGCUUUUCACCAAGCUGUUCUUAUCACACAUUCACACUUUCAGGUAUCGUUCAACAACCUAAUGUACCUCUACUAUGUCCAGCACUGUGCUAGGCUCUAGGAAUAAGAAGUCCAUUAAGACUUGUACCCUGCCAUCAAAAACUCUACUUAGGUUGUCUCUCUAAUUUUUCUUUACACCACAUCUUGGGUAGUGCUUGAUAGAUGUUUCCUACUGAUGACAAUUAUAAUGAUAGUAUUGACAAUGAUGACAACAAAAAACACAGCUGUCCACAAGUCUAAGUGGCAAACAUUAAAAGAGUUGUCCCAAAGAAACUUUCAUUCAUCCAAAAAGUAAUUAUGGAGCAACUAUUUUGUAGUUGAGAUGUUGCUCUGGGCUCCGUGAGAGGUAUAGAAAAGGCUUCCACUCCCAGGAAGGCCUGGUGAUCUUACAAGCUCACUCUGGAAUGGCUAAAAAUUCCCACGUUGGCCUUUGGUUUCUCCAGACCUCAGAAAUGACUGAUGGACAGUCAAUUUGGCCCCGCUGCCUCAGUUUCCAUUACACCUGUAGGACAGGUUGAAAAUUGGCCCAUGGAAGUAGCAUAUGGGACAAAUAACAAUAAAGUUAAGUAAAUUCCACUCAUUCUCUGGGCAGCAAUACCAGGGAAAGCACUGGACAUCCCGCAUUUUCAAGGCCAUGCAUUCAAGACAAGUUUACUUCUGUGCCCACAGCAGGACAGCAGCACAUGAAAGCCACAUGAGCUUAUGCUUGCAAGUUAUCUUCAACAGCACAAGGCCUUAAGAAAGAUAUGCCUGUAUGGGAAAUCACCUGACUGUGCCAUUAAUUGAAACAACCCAUUUCAUUUCAAAGUGUCAGUGAGCAUUGUAUGGGCAAAGCAUUGCAGGGUGAAGUGACAAGAAUGUGGAUUAUUUCCCAGAUUUUUUCUAGGAGCAAAUAGCAAUCACUGGCUAUGGGAUGGAUUAUUUGCAGAUGCACAUGGCUUCUUCUGCCCCAAGAAGAAGGACAACACCCCCGCCCACCUCCCCACCCUUGUUUUUCCUCAGCUUCCACCCCACCCCCAAUGCCACAUCCUUGCAAAGACAUCUGCUUUUCUGGAUUCCCGGAGAGUCCACCUCAUGCAAACUUCCCAGCAUCUUUAGCCAUGCCCUGGAUUCUACAUCUGAUUCACUUUUCCUGUUCCAG
rnacentral:lncRNA from 1 species